rnacentral:rRNA from 1 species
AUGGCCGCCGUUGCCGUCGUCGGGUUGAUGGCUCGCCGCAGCGGCACCCUCCUCCUCCUCGUGAUUGUCGCCAUCGUCGCCGGGACGGCCUCGGGGGCCGCGCUGGUGGGCGACAAGUGCGCCGCGGGCUCGCAGUCGCCGUGCGGCGACGGGAUGCGCUGCGCCUCCUGCUCCCCGCUCGCCGGGGCCGGCGCCGCCGUGUGCUCCCGGAUCACGCCCAUCGACCCCAAGACCCACGGCACGGGGCUGCCGUUCAACAAGUACUCGUGGCUCACCACGCACAACUCCUUCGCCAUGGCCGGCACCACCUCCCCCUCCGGCACGCCCGUCCUCUCCACGCCCAACCAGGAGGACACCGUCGCCGACCAGCUCAAGAACGGCGUGAGGGGGCUGAUGCUGGACACGUACGACUACAACAACGACCUCUGGCUCUGCCACUCCUUCAGCGGCAAAUGCUACGAGAUCACCGCAUUCCAACGGGCGUCCAAGGUGUUCAAGGAGGUGGAGGGCUUCCUCAACGCCAACCCGGACGAGGUCGUCACGCUGUUCGUCGAGGAGUACACCGCCGCGGGCGCCCUCGGCAAGGCCCUCUCCGCCGCCGGCCUCACCAAGUACGUCUUCCCGCCGGCCAGCAUGCCCAAGGACGGCGCCGACUGGCCGCCGCUCAAGGACAUGAUCGCCCAGAACCACCGCCUCCUCGUCUUCACCUCCAAGCAGGGCCGCGAGGGCUCCGACGGCGCCGCCUUCCAGUGGGACUACGUCGUCGAGACGCAAUACGGGGGCGAUGGGCUGGUGGUGGGCGCAUGCCCUAAGCGGGCCGAGUCCAAGCCCAUGGACUCCAAGGGGCAGUCGCUGGUGCUGCUCAACUUCUUCACCACCAACCCCAGCCAGAGCUGGGCCUGCGUCAACAACUCCGCGCCGCUCAUCUCCAAGCUCAGGGCCUGCUACGACGCCUCCGCCAAGCGAUGGCCCAACUACAUCGCCGUCGACUUCUACAUGAGGAGCAGCGGCGGCGGCGCCCCCCUGGCGACCGACGUGGCCAACGGGCGCCUCCAGUGCGGCUGCGACAGCAUCGCCUACUGUAAGGCAAACGCCUCAUUUGGAACAUGCGCACUGCCAUCGUCAACCCUGUCCUCGCCUCCCUCGUCGCCGCCGUCACCCUCCCCACCUUCGGCUUCCUCCUCGCCGAAAUCUUUGGCAUUGGCUUCGUCACCGUCUUCAAAACGAUCCAUGGCCCCGUCUUCGUCGCCCUCUGCAGCUCCAGCUCGGUCACGGUCGUGGUCUUCGUCGGCAGCAUUGUCCUUGUUUUCUUUCAUGGAUUCGAACGUGGACCCUUCUCUAUCCACAUCUGUAGCUUUGUCACCUUCCUUGGCCCCGUCUUCAUUGCCCUCUCUGGGUUCCGCUAAGCCUUCGACCCUCUCCCCACUAUCGUCGCCCUCUGCUUCCUCCCCGUCAUCGUCACUGUUGAAUAAGUCUCCAAAGAAGAAGUCUCCAAAGAGCACGAUCAACGUGAUGUCAGUGGAUGAACUCAAUCCAGAGAGUACAACUACAGAUGAAGGGGCAACACCAAAAGCGUCUUCGAACAGUACUCCAAAUCAAGGGAUGUCGGCGGAAGCAUCUCCGAGCGGUACUCCAGACACCGGGGCACCACAGAGAACGCUUCCAAAGAGCAUAGCAGAACCGCCGACACCCACGACACAUCCCGAGGCGGAGAACACCUCCAGCGCGGCGAUCCGGCCCAAGACCCCUCGCCGGAGCUCCCUCAUCGGGACCGCGUUGCUCGUGCUGAUCUCAUUGUCUUGA